rnacentral:rRNA from 1 species
AUACGUAGGGUGCAAGCGUUAAUCGGAAUUACUGGGCGUAAAGCGUGCGCAGGCGGUUUUUUAAGUCUGAGGUGAAAUCCCCGGGCUCAACCUGGGAACUGUCUUUGAGACUGGAAGGCUAGAGGACGGCAGAGGGGGAUGGAAUUCCGCGUGUUGCAGUGAAAUGCGUAGAUAUGCGGAGGAACACCGAUGGCGAAGGCAAUCCCCUGGGCCUGUACUGACGCUCAUGCACGAAAGCGUGGGGAGCAAACAGGAUUAGAUACCCUGGUAGUCCACGCCCUAAACGAUGUCAACUGGUUGUUGGGUCUUCAUUGACUCAGUAACGAAGCUAACGCGUGAAGUUGACCGCCUGGGGAGUACGGCCGCAAGGUUGAAACUCAAAUGAAUUGACGGGG